CGAGUUAUACCCUAUUAUAGCCGAGUUAUACCCGAUUAUAACCGAGUUAUACCUGAUCAUAACCAAGUUAUACUCGAUUAUAGCCCAGUUAUACCGGGAUUAUAACCGAGUUAUACCUGAUCAUAACCGAGUUUUACCCUAUUAUAGCCGAGUUAUACCCGAUUAUAACCGAGUUAUACCCGAUUAUAGCCGAGUUAUACCAGGUUAUAACCGAGUUAUACCCUAUUAUAGCCGAGUUAUACCCGAUUAUAACCGAGUUAUACCUGAUCAUAACCGAGUUAUACCCUAUUAUAGCCGAGUUAUACCAGAUGGGAGUGAGAAAAAAGGGAACAAGCGGCGCUGUGAGGGAACAUAAAACACCGACCACGAUGGGAGUGCUGGUGUGAAUACAGUCAGAAUUAGGAAAUUCAGGAAGAGUCACCAGACAUAAAAGGAUGGAAGGCAAAAUGUGGGAUUUGCUUUAUCCUUCCAGCUGGUUUGUUUGGAGCUGCAAGGGUUUUAGUGGCUCAGGUGAUUCUUCUGCAAAAUUUUGUAAAUGAAAGUGCGUAAUUUUGUAAAUAAAAACUUUAGAAAGUCUCAA